rnacentral:rRNA from 1 species
GUGUCAGCCGCCGCGGUAAUACGUAGGUGGCAAGCGUUGUCCGGAUUUACUGGGCGUAAAGGAUGUGUAGGCGGAUAUUUAAGUGAGAUGUGAAAUCCCCGGGCUUAACUUGGGGGCUGCAUUUCAAACUGGAUGUCUAGAGUGCAGGAGAGGAAAGCAGAAUUCCUAGUGUAGCGGUGAAAUGCGUAGAGAUUUGGAAGAAUACCAGUGGCGAAGGCGUCUUUCUGGACUGUAACUGACGCUGAAGCGAGAAAGCGUGGGGAGCAAACAGGAUUAGAUACCCUGGUAGUCCAUGCCGUAAACGAUGAGUGCUAGGUGUUAGAGGUAU